rnacentral:piRNA from 1 species
UAACAGGUGGCAGGACAGACUUGUGC